UUCAACCGGGUCAGCCUCGAAUAUCCCACGGGGCUUCCAGCAUCGAGGGGUACCUCGCGGCUCGCACGCCUGAUGCGAAAGAGAGACAAGACGCGGCCGCGGUCACAAGAGACGGCGAGAACUGCGCGAGCCGCCGUCGCCGCUAACGCCGUCGGAUGCCUGCUUCCUCUUCUUCCUAGGGAAAGUUGGCCUUCUCCCCCGAGAAGAGAGUGCGGUCAUGUGGCUUCGGAGCGAAAUGGAUGAGUUGCCUACCUAGAAGAGGGAUGCGAUGGAACUGAAGUGAUGCAUGCCUGUCGUUGCGAAACUGAAACUAUGCUGGGAAGCAGAAACCGAAUUUAAGUGAUGUUUGUGUUGCACCCUAGGUGUCGUUGGUACAUGCUGAUGCAUGCCUGUGUUUGACAUAUGAUGUUUAAACUAUGAUCUGAUCGUGUUGUAUGGCCUUUGAUGUUCUUAGUUUAGAUGCCAUUGAUCUUAAAGAUUAUGAUUUGUUGCUUUUAGUAGUACUUGAUGAUAUGGCCACUGAUGCUUCAGCCUGUUCAAUAGUAAAGAUCGGAUUUUUACCA